rnacentral:lncRNA from 1 species
AAAAUUCUCAAACGACUUAUAUUAAAGAAUAAAAACACUUCUCUAAAACGACUUAUAUUAAGGAACGGAGUGAGUAGAAUAGUUCGUAAUUAAUAACCACUUCAACAUCAUUAAUUUGCAAAGUCAAAUUAGACACAUAAGAGAUCAUCCCAUAAACUGAACUGACUCAUAAAUAGUUGAAAUUAAUUAAAUACUUAUAUACUUAUGGUAAGAAAAUCAACAAGGCUUAGGUUGAUUUCUUCUUCACAAAGUACAUGCAGUUACUUAUUUGGCCAAGUUGCAUAGAGUGAAGACAAAGUACAAGUGAAUUAGAUCAUAAGAAAGUAGUAAUAAUCAAUUAUGAAGUAGUACUGUGAAUAGAGUGAUCUUUCAAGUUAUAUAUUGAGGUUUCAGAUCUUAAUUAUCCG